UUCCCCGCUGACCUGGUAGAGCAGUGUGUCCAACAUGCUGAUGCUGAAGACGCGGCCGGCGGCGAACGGCAGGCGGAACAUGAAGGCCAGACACACUCAGGGCCAGAGCCCGGGAGGAGUGAUGUGGGGCUCUGAUGAGAAGGUGGACUCCCGGCGGCUGCCAUGGGCACUGCGCUUGGUCAAGCGCCCUGCUCUUGCCAUCCCGAAAUUCCAAAUCCUCCUGAUAAUCCUCUCCUCCCCCGGUGUUUUGUAAGUGGUGCCGGAGGGCGUGUGGAGUCUGGGCUGAGGAGGAGCAAGCAUCGGGCUCCCUGCUGUCCUUGGCCUCCCCGUCCCUGUGCUCCAGGCUUGCAAUGGACCCACUGAGUUUCCUGGGGCUCCCGUAACAAAUGACCGCAAACUUAGCAGCUAAAACGACACCUGUCUCCUCUCUCCCGUUUCUGGAGUCGGGAGUUUGAGGUGUCUCAGGCUGGAUCCAGGCCUGGGCAGGGCCCCGCUCCCUCUGGAGGCCUGGGGGCCUCCUUCUCUUGCCUUUUCCAGCUCCUGGAGGCCACCUGCCUUGGCUUGUGGCUCCCUCUUCCCUCUUCUGAGCUGGCCGUGCAGCUUCUUCCCACCGGAUGGGGACCUCUGGCCUCUCCCUAGAAGGACCCUGACGGCGUGAACCUGCCGGAUGCUCCAGGAGGAUCUCCCAUCUCGAGGCCCGUGACUUAAUCCCAUCUGCAGAGGCCCUUCUGUCACGUGAGGCGGUACAUCCACGGGCUCCGGACCCGGCCGUGGCCAACUCUCGGGUCAUUCUUCAGCGGAGGGCCCCAACCCUGGAGCUCGGCCUCCAAGCAAGUGUGCACAGGCAGGCGUGUGCGCCCACGGAGGCCACACUUCCCCCCGGAACCAGAACUCGAUUCACAGAACAACGCUAAACAGGAAACAAGAACCACGACAGGGCCAGAGAGAGACGUGGAAGGAAAGAAAAAGCUGGACGUUUCAGGACCUUCCAGAGAUUUCCUCCUGCUUUCUGGACAGGAGGGCUUCAGCAGGGGCUGAGCGGGUGCCAUUCACAAGUGACAGUGAAGACAGGAGCACACAGGAGCGGAUGAGCCCUUCCUGAGCACGAGACCCCCGGUCAGAGGGAGCAGGACAGGCACCGUGCAGCCCCAGGAUGGGCAGAGCCAGCCUGAAGGAAGGCUCCUGGGUCUCGCUCUGUCGCCCAGCCUGGAGUGCA
rnacentral:lncRNA from 1 species